AACGCUAGCUACAGGCUUAACACAUGCAAGUCGAGGGGUAACGAGAGGGAAGCUUGCUUUCCUUGUCGACGACCGGCGCACGGGUGAGUAACGCGUAUCCAACCUGCCCACCACUUGGGGAUAACCUUGCGAAAGUAAGACUAAUACCCAAUGAUAUCUCUAGAAGACAUCUGAAGGAGAUUAAAGAUUUAUCGGUGAUGGAUGGGGAUGCGUCUGAUUAGCUUGUUGGCGGGGUAACGGCCCACCAAGGCGACGAUCAGUAGGGGUUCUGAGAGGAAGGUCCCCCACAUUGGAACUGAGACACGGUCCAAACUCCUACGGGAGGCAGCAGUGAGGAAUAUUGGUCAAUGGUCGGAAGACUGAACCAGCCAAGUAGCGUGAAGGAUGAAGGUUCUAUGGAUUGUAAACUUCUUUUAUACGGGAAUAAAACCUCCCACGUGUGGGAGCUUGUAUGUACCGUAUGAAUAAGCAUCGGCUAACUCCGUGCCAGCAGCCGCGGUAAUACGGAGGAUGCGAGCGUUAUCCGGAUUUAUUGGGUUUAAAGGGAGCGUAGACGGGAGAUUAAGUCAGUUGUGAAAGGCUGCGGCUCAACCGCAGCACUGCAGUUGAUACUGGUUUCCUUGAGUUCGGUUGAGGUGUAUGGAAUUCGUGGUGUAGCGGUGAAAUGCUUAGAUAUCACGAAGAACUCCGAUU
rnacentral:rRNA from 1 species